rnacentral:rRNA from 1 species
UACGGGAGGCAGCAGUGGGGAAUAUUGCACAAUGGGCGAAAGCCUGAUGCAGCUAUGCCGCGUGUAUGAAGAAGGCCUUAGGGUUGUAAAGUACUUUCAUCGGGGAGGAAAAAACAAAACUAAUAAUUUUAUUUCUUGACGUUACCCGAAAAAGAAGCACCGGCUAACUCCGUGCCAGCAGCCGCGGUAAUACGAAGGGUGCUAGCGUUAAUCAGAAUUACUGGGCGUAAAGAGCACGUAGGUGGUUUUUUUAAGUCAGAUGUGAAAUCCCUGGGCUUAACCUGGAACUGCAUUUUGAAACUGAAAUACUAGAGUAUCGUAGAGGGAGGUAGAAUUCUAGGUGUAGCGGUGAAAUGCGUAGAUAUCUGGAGGAAUACCUGUGGCGAAAGCGGCCUCCUAAACGAAUACUGACACUGAGGUGCGAAAGCGUGGGGAGCAAACAGGGAUUAGAUACCCGU